AUGACUAGGGGGAUCGGGGAUACCACAGAGCUUAUAAGGGCGAUGUUUGAUGGUGUAUCGCAACGUAACCCAUUCAAGUCCUAACUUUAUAAACACCUAACGUCUGCUGGGCUCCAGACUUCGUAGUGCGCCUGCGCCGUGCCCUUGGCUGCGUGGUUGCCAGGAAACCGCGAAGCCGCGGUCCCUGCCUCUGAGUCUCUCUCGACCAUGGCCAAAUUCGUCAUUGCGGGUAGAGCAGAUUGUCCAUAUUAUGCUAAAACAGAACUUCUGGCAGACUAUUUACAAAAGAAUCUUCCUGAUUUUCGCAUACAUAAAAUCACACAACGUCCUGAGGUUUGGGAGGAUUGGCUAAAAGAUGUGUGUGAAAAGAAUGAGUGGAGUCACAAGAAUUCCCCUAUCAUAUGGAGAGAGCUGUUGGAUCGUGGAGGAAAGGGUUUGCUUUUGGGAGGAUAUAAUGAGUUCCUGGAGCAUGCCCAGCUUUACUAUGAUGUCACCUCUAGCAUGACGACUGAGUUGAUGAUGGUAAUUGCUCAAGAGAACCUGGGGGCACAUAUAGAAAAAGAGCAGGAGGAAGAAGCCCUGAAAACUUGCAUCAACCCCUUGCAGGUCUGGAUCACCAGUGCCUCUGCUCCUGCCUGCUACAACCUAAUUCCCAUAUUGACGAGUGGCGAAGUGUUUGGGAUGCAUACAGAAAUUAGCAUAACUCUAUUUGACAACAAGCAGGCAGAAGAAUAUCUCAAAAGCCUUGUGGUGGAGACCCAGGACCUGGCGUCACCCGUCCUGCGCAGUGUCUCCAUCUGCACAAAGGUGGAGGAGGCCUUCUGCCAGGCCCACGUCAUUGUGGUGCUGGACGAAAGCACCGACAAGGAGGUGUUCACCCUGGAGGACUGCCUCCGGAGCAGGGUGCCUCUGUGCAGACUCUACGGGUACCUGAUAGAGAAAAAUGCUCAUGAAUCCGUCAGAGUCAUCGUGGGAGGGAAAACCUUUGUGAACCUGAAGACAGUUUUACUCAUGAGAUAUGCCCCACGCGUCGCACACAACAUUAUUGCCGUGGCACUGGGGGUGGAAGGUGAAGCGAAAGCCAUACUGGCCAGAAAGCUGAAGACAGCUCCUUCAUACAUUAAAGAUGUGAUCAUUUGGGGUAAUAUCAGUGGAAAUAAUUACGUUGAUCUGAGAAAAACAAGGGUGUACAGAUAUGAGAGUGCCAUUUGGGGACCUCUUCAUUAUUCACGCCCUCUUUUAAACUUGAUCUUUGACAGUGAGUGGGUAAAAAGAGAAUUUGUAGCAACUCUUAAAAACUUGACCGCCACAGGAAGACAAUGUGGAGGCAUUUUGGCUGCACACAGUAUAGCCACUACGUUGAAAUACUGGUAUCAUGGCUCACCGCCUGGGGAGAUUGUAUCUUUAGGAAUAUUGAGUGAAGGCCAGUUUGGUAUUCCUAAAGGGAUCGUCUUUUCUAUGCCUGUGAAAUUUGAGAAUGGAACUUGGAUGGUUCUUACAGAUCUCAAAGAUAUUGAAAUAAGUGAACAAAUAAUGACCAGAAUGACAAGUGAUCUAAUUCAGGAGAAACUUGUUGCACUUGGAGACAAGAUACAUUUUCAGCCAUACCAAUCAGGACUACCAUAACAAAUGACCACAAAUUGGAUGGCUUAAAAACAACAGAAAUUUACUUGUUCACAGCUCAGGAGACUAGAAGACCUGAUGUGAGACACACCCAGGAUCAAUACUUUGCAUCCUUCAAUCCAAUCAAGUUGGCACUCAGUAUUAACCAUCACAAUUAGAAAAGGAUAAGUAUUAUUUCAUGUAAUUUUGUUUCAUUAAUAUGUACACAAAUGUGCACACUGAACUAUAAUGUAAAAUAUGCCUUUUAUUGUGGGUCAUAGUCACUGAAGUUUGAAAAACAUUGACUUAGAACAUCUCAUGACCUAGUCAGGUUGUUGGUUAUAUUCUAAAUCCAGCAUGUUUAAUUUAAUUUUGAUUUCAGAACAUAAAGAUCUGGUCCCUGAUGAAGAAAAAAAUCUAGUUAUGUCAGACGCAGCAGAUUUUCUAAAUCGGAUUCCUCAAACUACCUUUGAAAAGCCACAGAGUCUUGAGUUCCUAAAUGGCUUUGAAGGCAAAACUGUGGAAUCCUAACAGAUCAAAUUGGAUGAAAUACAUAAUUACUUGGUAGCAUAAUAAAUAUAGAAAGAAUUUACAUAAAUGUCUACAUUGAAGGAAGAAUAAUUUGAAAGAUUUAUGUCAGUCUUAGAUAAUACCAUGGAAGGCAAUUAAAUCACUGUGACAACAUAAAGGUCAGAGUUCAGUUAUUUUGCGUUACUUGUAUCCACUUAUGUUUGUUUAACAAUAAUUGCAUUUUCUCAGAAAUAUUUUGGUGUCAAAUGCUAUCUUUUAUACUACAUUAAAAUAGAGUUGUCAGUUAUUGCAUCUGCCCAUACAUCUUCUGAGAGAACCUGCUUCCUUCCACCAGUCAUACCUAAGACCUGCACCUCAGUGACCAUGUUUGCUCAAAUGUCCUCACCACCUUGGUCUCAGCUAAUUCAGCCAAACAGAUGUACCUCACUCAAGGAUAACCAAUCAUAUUUUCUCUCUCUCUCAAAAAAAAAUUGAACUGAGACCAAUGAGUAAGUUGAUGACUGGGUCAGGUUAAUGGUAGUGAACUAUGUGCCUGUGAGCUCUUCAGAGCUAGUUGGGUUCACCACCUUCAUAAGACCUGCCUUUGUACCAUUUUUCCUUGGAUAUGCUUUAAGUGUCUGUACAAUAAAUCACAUUUUUUUAAAGCUUAGGUUGAAUAGGUUUCUGCUCCUUCACAACAGAUAUGGCCUGAAUAAAAUGAAUUUUGAAAGAAAA